UUAAAGAGUCUGAUGGCCACAGGCAGGAGUGACUUCCUGUGGCGCUCUGUGGUGCAUUCUGGGGGGAUGAGUCUUCCGCUGAAGGAGCUCCUUAGUUUGACCAGCGCGUCAUGGUCAAAGGUGGCGUUGUUAAUUACAAGCAACAUCGUCAGAACAAUGAAUCAACUACUUAAUAUGAGAGGAAACAGCGACCCGCGCAGGAAAAUGGUUGUAGCGACAGUAAAAAGUGAAAUUCAGUGCUGUGAAAUUUAAACAAUAUGAUCACAUAACUAGAAUAGAAUAAGAAGCUGUGGAAAAACUGAUCAAUUCCAAAUAUUAUAAAUAAGACUGUAAAUACAUGUGGGAAUUAUUAUGUCUGUAGUUUAGAGUAUUCUUGCAUCUUGACUUUAAUCACAGGAGAAGCAGUGAGUUCGAUAAACAGGAAGUAACUGCGGUUGUACUUGUUACUGCGGAGGGAGUGGCGCUGACAGAUGGCCCAUGAAGUCAGUACGCGGCCGGCAGUCGGACUGUUGUUCUGCGUGACCUCUGAAGUUUGACCCCAAGCAGUCAGGUUGUGCAGCGUAGGUGACGGACAGGUGUGGCGAAGCGGGAAAUGAAAAUGACUCCAGUUUAGACUUUCUCUGCUCUGGUUUUCCUGCAGCUCGAGCUGAUGCUAAAAGGAGAGCUUCGGAUCAUCACUUACUGGAAUGACGAAGAGCUACAACUUGUGGCGUUGAACAACCUGUUGAUACGCUGGCCAAUAUGACUGGGAAGAAGGCACUUCUGCUUAUUUUCAUCAUCUCUUAGCUACUGUAACAUGAUGCUAACGUGGUUUACUUAAUAAUCAUUCUGCACGCACUGAACCAUGUUUAAAAACAUUCUGCUUCUUGAGUUUGAUGUUUAAAAAGAU